GAUGAAGAACGCAGCGAAAUGCGAUAAUUAAUGUGAAUUGCAGAAUUCCGUGAAUCAUCGAGUCUUUGAACGCACAUUGCGCCUCAUGGCAUUCCGUGAGGCAUGCCCAUCUCAGCGUUAGAAAAUAUUCUCAAAUUUUAGUUUUGUGCUAAAAUUUGGAUCAUGUCAAGGAAGCUAUUACUAUUAUUGUGAUCGCUCUUUGGAAAUUGAUAGGUCUUUGAGUUGCUACUCAUAGAACGUGAUGAAUCUUUCUUCGUUCUAUUGUAAUUCACUCUGGUAGGCCUAAAACUUGUAUGCCUGUGGCAUAUCUUGUAAUUUGACCUGAGAUUGGGUAGGGAUACCCGCUGAACUUAAGCAUAUCAAUAACGGAGGA
rnacentral:misc_RNA from 1 species